rnacentral:lncRNA from 1 species
GCUGCUACACAGCUGUACGGUGCAACCUGGAGAUGCUACGUACGAAAAGGGCAAUGAAAGGUGUGUGUGUGUGUGUGAUCCGUACACUGUUCUGUUGACUGAUAUCUCGCUGUGACAUCUCUUACGGCCCUCGGGACAAAGCACUUAUUGCGUUUUUAUUUGGACUUGUUUGGACUUUUGUUUUGUUUUUGCAAAUGAAUGGUCAAAGACCUGCUUCAGCAAAGAGAUGUACAGAUUCAUAUUAUUUAAAAAAUGGCAUUGAAUAAAACUAUAGAAUGGGACGACUGUCUGCUUUCUCUCUAGCUGGAUUGCAGGAUUUCUAGCCAACUAUCGACCCAAACUUGCCAUGAAUAACUAGGAAGCAUCAAGUAGUAGUGACUUUGGAAAUAGUGACUCAAGACUAUGUACUUGAAUGAAUAUAUAUAUAUUCAUCUAUAGAGCUUGCAAGGUGGUUCUUUUCCCUCUGUUUCCUGUCUCACUGAUUGUCUUUGCGCUUCAGGUUAUACCAUUUCCUCUCACACCCGUGACUACCGUGUCACGUCCUGAUCCUUCCACCCCCUGCCCGUCUUUAUCUAUCCCUUAUCUAUUAUUUUUAUUUCUCUCUCUCGCUCUCUCGCUCUCUCCGCUCGCUCUCUCUCUCUCAAUGUAGGUAAGUGACUGCUUACGCUACUCCUUUCCUAUUCAACUUUGGGAAAAUGAUUUGUUAUGCAUUUUAUUGUCAUGUAGUCCUCUGUGACAUUGUGUGCAUCAGGGUAAUUGCAUCAAUGUGUUAUCCCCUACCUCAAGGGGAUUUUGUUUUGGAAAAAGAUUUAGGGUGUGUCCUCAGUCUUUCUCAGCCUGGCGUCUAGCUUACCUGUGUCAACAUGGUGACGGCGCCAGGUGUACUGACGACCCUUGUGUUAACAGGGUUGUGUGUCCACCUCACAGGAUCAUCUAGAGCCGUCUGUACCACCCGUCUGUAUUCCCUGAACUUAAACUGUGUCCUGCAGUGGGAUUGUCCACAGGCGAAUGCUACCACCACCUACACCGUCCAAACUAAGACUCAGGGUGAUUCGUGGCAGGACGUGGAGAGUUGUGUGCGGUUCUCCUCCCAGCUGUGUGACCUGUCCGAGGCCUUCUCUAACUUCGAGGUGUACAACAUGAUCCGCCUGGGCCUCCACCAGGGCCCGGGGAGUCCAGUCUGGACAGAAAAUCUGGGGUUUGGCGUCCGUGAUUUCAACUUCAGCAGCCCCUCUGUCUUGGUCUCUCUGUCUGGAGAGAGGCUGGGAGUGGAGGUGCACUUACCUUGUUCUAGCAAAAGGGAGUGUCUUCCUCUGCAGAGUUGCUGUCCACUGUCAAAAUUUAUUGACCUCUGGGUCACCGUGACAGUAUAUGACCGACAGAACCCCUCUGACUACAAGACGCAGAUUGGUUUGGUCCAGACGAUGGUGUAUGGGGCAGAGUUCUCAAACCUGGUCCCAGGACAUGACUACUGUGUCGUGGCUAACUUCUCCACCAGUCCGGCCACCUUCCCCCAGGCCUCGUCUCCUCCCUCGGACCCCAGUUGUGUCCACCAUGCUGGCCCAGGACUAGGGUUGCAGCCAGUGUUGUUGGGGUUAGGAGUGUGUGCUGUACUCUUCUCUCCUCUCCUUGCUCUGGCUCUGUACCUGCUGAAACAAAAACGAGAUGUACCACACGUAAACAGACUCCCCAAGUCUCUAGCAUCUCUUCAGGCAUUCCUCGAGGACCUGCCGGAGUCCCCUUCAGACCCUGUUGACCCCAGUGACAUUGUAGACGACCACCUCUCCAUCCUGUCCUCUUUCUCCAGCUGUGUCUGCACCGAGGCCCAGGCCCCAAGCCUGGGUAAUGGGUACAACAGCAACCCCUUCCUCAGUGACUAUAGGUCAGGCAACAUGCACUGGAACACUGAGAGAAUGGAGCUGGACCUAAACUCAGCCAGCACCAUAUCCCUGCCAUGCUCCACUGUGCCUAUAGGCCUGCAUAUGAUCCAGUGCAGCUUUGAUUCACCUCGACAACCACAUCCAGGGCCCAAUGUGCCAGUUCUACCGUACCCUGGUUCUUUAUCUUUGUCAGAGGCCGUGGAGGGCCAGGUGGUCCCGCUGUGUUCUGUGAGGUUUGGGAGGGUGAGUGAGGGGGAUGGGGGUGAGAACCUUGAGGGACUACAGUGGUGUAACCUGUAG